rfam:Schistosoma curassoni strain Dakar, Senegal genome assembly, scaffold: SCTD_scaffold0005071
AUCCAGGUGAGGAAUCCCAAAUAGGACGAAACGCUCAUCCUGGAU